CACGUAGGCGGUCUCGUAAGUCGGAUGUGAAAGCCCUCGGCUCAACCGAGGAAGUGCAUUCGAAACUGCGAGACUUGAGUACGGGAGAGGGUCGCGGAAUUCCCGGUGUAGAGGUGAAAUUCGUAGAUAUCGGGAGGAACACCAGUGGCGAAGGCGGCGGCCUGGACCGAUACUGACGCUGAGGUGCGAAAGCGUGGGGAGCAAACA
rnacentral:rRNA from 1 species